rnacentral:rRNA from 1 species
CAGUAGCCGCGGUAAAACGAAGGGUGCAAGCGUUAAUCGGAAUUACUGGGCGUAAAGCGUGCGUAGGCGGUGAGUUAAGUCUGCUGUGAAAUCCCCGGGCUCAACCUGGGAAUGGCAGUGGAUACUGGCUCGCUAGAGUGUGUCAGAGGAUGGUGGAAUUCCCGGUGUAGCGGUGAAAUGCGUAGAGAUCGGGAGGAACAUCAGUGGCGAAGGCGGCCAUCUGGGACAACACUGACGCUGAGGCGCGAAAGCGUGGGGAGCAAACAGGAUUAGAUACCCGCGUAGUCCCUGUCUCUUAUAC